UGAUAUUUGCCCAUUUGAAUAUUUUGUAUGAAGCAUUUUGAAAAGAGUUGAUCGCACCCUGCUUCGGAGGCUGCCUACAUAUCUUUGGCUAAAAAGGAAUCAAGUCAGUAUAGUUCGGGAGUGUCUGGUAGCUGGGACUACCAGGGGCUGUGAUUUCACUGCGAUUGCUGCUGCUACUGCUUGCUAACCUCCCUUAUUACACCGUCAAAAAAAAGAAGCUAUACUAAGCUAUGACCUAUGAAUUACAAAAGUACUAUCUAAAUUCUUCAAUCUUGAUCUUGUAUUUCUUGUUGCCUUGUGUUCUCUUGGUGAAAUCCAUUGUUUCUGCUUCGAAUUGUCAACUGAGAUGUUUUUCCUUUCCUUCUGAUUGCUGAUCUUGAAUGUAUUCCUCUGUUAUACGGGCGGGCUCCCAACUGCUGAACUUGAACUUGAAUAUAUGCCUCUAUUAUACGGGUGGGCUCCCGAUUGCUGAACUUGAACUUGAAUGUGUUCCUCUAUUAUGUGAGCAGGCUCCCAAAUACUGAACUUGAAUGUAUUCUUGUGUUAUCCAGGUGAGCUCCUGACUUCACAAAAAUAGACAAAAUGAAGAAAACUUUCUACCCCAGUAUGGAAACUGGGCAUCAUGUUACCAGAUACUAAUAAGAAUUUUAAAGCUAAUACUUGAAUUGUGAUACCUCUGUUAUCCAGGCGGGCUCCUGACUUCAAACUUGAAAACUGUAUUCCUCUGUUGUACAGGCGGGCUCCCGACUUCAAAACAUGAAAAUAUAUUCCUCUAUUAUCUAGGC
rnacentral:lncRNA from 1 species